rnacentral:rRNA from 1 species
GAUUUAACGGCCGCGGUACUCUGACCGUGCGAAGGUAGCACAAUCACUUGUUCUUUAAAUGAGGACUAGAAUCAAGGCGUCACGAGGGUUCCACUGUCUCCUUUUUCUAAUCAGUGAAAUUGAUCUCCCCGUGAAGAAGCGGGGAUAAUAAUAUAAGACGAGAAGACCCCAUGGAGCUUCAAACUCAACGGAUAACUCUACAACUUACUAGAUAUCUUAAGAGACCUAUCCGUUAGUUUUGGGUUGGGGUGACCACGGAGAACAGCCUAACCUCCGUAAUGAAAAGAAUAAAAUCAUAAUCUAAGAGCUACACCUCUAAGAAUUAACAAAUUAACAUACAAUGAUCCAAUUUUAUUGAUCAAUGAACCAAGUUACCCUGGGGAUAACAGCGCUAUCCACUUCUAGAGUCCAUAUCGCCAAGUGGGUUUACGACCUCGAUGUUGGAUCAGGGUGUCCGAGUGGUGCAGCC